GGUAAAAUGGCCGAGAUUAGGUGAUAAAUUGUAAAUUUAUUUACGAAGUAAACUUCUUUUACCA
rnacentral:tRNA from 1 species